ACUGUAAAAUUAAAGCUUCUAAGGUUUUUUUCUUGCUCUAAAUUGCUGUUUUUUCUAUUCUCAGAUACCCCAAAAGAGAUGAGGAGAGUAGAUGUGGAGAGCAGACUCUAAGUAUUGCCAAAGCAAGCUGGUCGCUGGGACUUCCUCCCAACCAUUGCUUGUAUUUCCCCCACCUCAUCCCCGUGGUUACCUCCACUUAGCCUCAGCAGGGUCAAGAUCAUAAAAGGCAAAAUACAAAAGAAGAAGUCAGGAACCAAGGUCAAGAACAAGAACAUCGAGAAAGAGGGGUCGGAAGGCAUCUCAGCUGAACCUCCAAGGAGAGAGGCAAGAACAGGAAUGGACCAUUUGGGGAGAAGGAUGCCAAUGACAUUUGGAAUGUCAGCUAAGACCAGAGAUUUAAUGGGAAAGAAGAAGACAAUUGUUUGGAGGCAUCAUGGAUUUAACCCAUAUCCAUUUCAAUAUCCUCUUACUUCUCCAUCUCUAUCUUCAGCUGUGCACAAGGAUUCCAGAAUGAUUAGCAUGGGGACUUGCAUGAUCUCACAGCCAAAGGAAAAUAUCUAAGCAGCUUUAGUCAGUGUACUCUAUCUAUUAAGGCAGGAAAUGAUUUUCAAUAAAAGAAAUUGAAAACAAGGAAACUCUAGACUC
rnacentral:lncRNA from 1 species